GCCCCCAUGGUGGAAUUGGUAUACACGGUUGACUUAAAAUCAACUGCCGAAAGGAUUGUGGGUUCGAGUCCCACUGGGGGUA
rnacentral:tRNA from 1 species